GCAAAGCCCUGAAGCGUUAGCUCCAGUGACAUGCACUCAUGGCAAAUGAAGUCACUUACCAAACUGUCCAGUCCCAUUUACUCCUUAAGGGCAAGUACUCUGAAGCCAGGGAAACAUGGAAAUAUUUAGUGAGAGGAAAAGGCAAGUGGAAGAACAGAGGUUAGGCCCACUGUCACGACUGCUGUAGCCCUGGUUGGCUGGAAUGCCUAGUGUGGAUCGGGAAGAAGCUUGCGCGGUAGAUGCUGCUCCUGCUGUUCUUUCAUCGGUCUUCUCCCGUCACUUUCUGCGUCUCUGGUCCACUUCCUCUCCAGGACACCUGAAUGGAGUAUGCUCCUCACCAUACCGCUUAUGGCCAACUGUCUUGGACUCAUCUUCAGUCCCUCAUGGGGAGUAAGCAACAGGACAGGCACAGAUUGGCUAGAAGCACUUGUGUACUAAGUGCCUGGAAGCCUUGCUCCAUUAAAGAGAGAGAUAAUGGAGCUGUGAGAAAAGAGAG